UUAAGCGACUAAGCGUACACGGUGGAUGCCCUGGCAGUCAGAGGCGAUGAAGGACGUGCUAAUCUGCGAUAAGCGUCGGUGAGGUGAUAUGAACCGUUAUAACCGGCGAUUUCCGAAUGGGGAAACCCAGUGUGUUUCGACACACUAUCAUUAACUGAAUCCAUAGGUUAAUGAGGCGAACCGGGGGAACUGAAACAUCUAAGUACCCCGAGGAAAAGAAAUCAACCGAGAUUCCCCCAGUAGCGGCGAGCGAAUGGGGAGCAGCCCAGAGCCUGAAUCAGUGUGUGUGUUAGUGGAAGCGUCUGGAAAGGCGCGCGAUACAGGGUGACAGCCCCGUACACAAAAAUGCACAUGCUGUGAGCUCGAUGAGUAGGGCGGGACACGUGGUAUCCUGUCUGAAUAUGGGGGGACCAUCCUCCAAGGCUAAAUACUCCUGACUGACCGAUAGUGAACCAGUACCGUGAGGGAAAGGCGAAAAGAACCCCGGCGAGGGGAGUGAAAAAGAACCUGAAACCGUGUACGUACAAGCAGUGGGAGCCUCUUUAUGGGGUGACUGCGUACCUUUUGUAUAAUGGGUCAGCGACUUAUAUUCUGUAGCAAGGUUAACCGAAUAGGGGAGCCGAAGGGAAACCGAGUCUUAACUGGGCGUUAAGUUGCAGGGUAUAGACCCGAAACCCGGUGAUCUAGCCAUGGGCAGGUUGAAGGUUGGGUAACACUAACUGGAGGACCGAACCGACUAAUGUUGAAAAAUUAGCGGAUGACUUGUGGCUGGGGGUGAAAGGCCAAUCAAACCGGGAGAUAGCUGGUUCUCCCCGAAAGCUAUUUAGGUAGCGCCUCGUGAAUUCAUCUCCGGGGGUAGAGCACUGUUUCGGCAAGGGGGUCAUCCCGACUUACCAACCCGAUGCAAACUGCGAAUACCGGAGAAUGUUAUCACGGGAGACACACGGCGGGUGCUAACGUCCGUCGUGAAGAGGGAAACAACCCAGACCGCCAGCUAAGGUCCCAAAGUCAUGGUUAAGUGGGAAACGAUGUGGGAAGGCCCAGACAGCCAGGAUGUUGGCUUAGAAGCAGCCAUCAUUUAAAGAAAGCGUAAUAGCUCACUGGUCGAGUCGGCCUGCGCGGAAGAUGUAACGGGGCUAAACCAUGCACCGAAGCUGCGGCAGCGACGCUUAUGCGUUGUUGGGUAGGGGAGCGUUCUGUAAGCCUGCGAAGGUGUGCUGUGAGGUAUGCUGGAGGUAUCAGAAGUGCGAAUGCUGACAUAAGUAACGAUAAAGCGGGUGAAAAGCCCGCUCGCCGGAAGACCAAGGGUUCCUGUCCAACGUUAAUCGGGGCAGGGUGAGUCGACCCCUAAGGCGAGGCCGAAAGGCGUAGUCGAUGGGAAACAGGUUAAUAUUCCUGUACUUGGUGUUACUGCGAAGGGGGGACGGAGAAGGCUAUGUUGGCCGGGCGACGGUUGUCCCGGUUUAAGCGUGUAGGCUGAUUUUCCAGGCAAAUCCGGAAAAUCAAGGCUGAGGCGUGAUGACGAGGCACUACGGUGCUGAAGCAACAAAUGCCCUGCUUCCAGGAAAAGCCUCUAAGCAUCAGGUAACAUCAAAUCGUACCCCAAACCGACACAGGUGGUCAGGUAGAGAAUACCAAGGCGCUUGAGAGAACUCGGGUGAAGGAACUAGGCAAAAUGGUGCCGUAACUUCGGGAGAAGGCACGCUGAUAUGUAGGUGAAGCGACUUGCUCGUGGAGCUGAAAUCAGUCGAAGAUACCAGCUGGCUGCAACUGUUUAUUAAAAACACAGCACUGUGCAAACACGAAAGUGGACGUAUACGGUGUGACGCCUGCCCGGUGCCGGAAGGUUAAUUGAUGGGGUUAGCGGUAACGCGAAGCUCUUGAUCGAAGCCCCGGUAAACGGCGGCCGUAACUAUAACGGUCCUAAGGUAGCGAAAUUCCUUGUCGGGUAAGUUCCGACCUGCACGAAUGGCGUAAUGAUGGCCAGGCUGUCUCCACCCGAGACUCAGUGAAAUUGAACUCGCUGUGAAGAUGCAGUGUACCCGCGGCAAGACGGAAAGACCCCGUGAACCUUUACUAUAGCUUGACACUGAACAUUGAGCCUUGAUGUGUAGGAUAGGUGGGAGGCUUUGAAGUGUGGACGCCAGUCUGCAUGGAGCCGGCCUUGAAAUACCACCCUUUAAUGUUUGAUGUUCUAACGUUGGCCCCUGAUCGGGGUUGCGGACAGUGUCUGGUGGGUAGUUUGACUGGGGCGGUCUCCUCCUAAAGAGUAACGGAGGAGCACGAAGGUUGGCUAAUCCUGGUCGGACAUCAGGAGGUUAGUGCAAUGGCAUAAGCCAGCUUGACUGCGAGCGUGACGGCGCGAGCAGGUGCGAAAGCAGGUCAUAGUGAUCCGGUGGUUCUGAAUGGAAGGGCCAUCGCUCAACGGAUAAAAGGUACUCCGGGGAUAACAGGCUGAUACCGCCCAAGAGUUCAUAUCGACGGCGGUGUUUGGCACCUCGAUGUCGGCUCAUCACAUCCUGGGGCUGAAGUAGGUCCCAAGGGUAUGGCUGUUCGCCAUUUAAAGUGGUACGCGAGCUGGGUUUAGAACGUCGUGAGACAGUUCGGUCCCUAUCUGCCGUGGGCGCUGGAGAACUGAGGGGGGCUGCUCCUAGUACGAGAGGACCGGAGUGGACGCAUCACUGGUGUUCGGGUUGUCAUGCCAAUGGCACUGCCCGGUAGCUAAAUGCGGAAGAGAUAAGUGCUGAAAGCAUCUAAGCACGAAACUUGCCCCGAGAUGAGUUCUCCCUGAGACUUAGAGUCUCCUGAAGGAACGUUGAAGACGACGACGUUGAUAGGCCGGGUGUGUAAGCGCAGCGAUGCGUUGAGCUAACCGGUACUAAUGAACCGUGAGGCUUAACCUU
rnacentral:rRNA from 1 species